rnacentral:rRNA from 1 species
UGGGGAAUAUUGGACAAUGGGCGCAAGCCUGAUCCAGCCAUGCCGCGUGUCUGAAGAAGGCCUUCGGGUUGUAAAGGACUUUUGUCAGGGAAGAAAAGGGCGGGGUUAAUACCCCUGUCUGAUGACGGUACCUGAAGAAUAAGCACCGGCUAACUACGUGCCAGCAGCCGCGGUAAUACGUAGGGUGCGAGCGUUAAUCGGAAUUACUGGGCGUAAAGCGGGCGCAGACGGUUACUUAAGCAGGAUGUGAAAUCCCCGGGCUCAACCUGGGAACUGCGUUCUGAACUGGGUGACUAGAGUGUGUCAGAGGGAGGUAGAAUUCCACGUGUAGCAGUGAAAUGCGUAGAGAUGUGGAGGAAUACCGAUGGCGAAGGCAGCCUCCUGGGAUAACACUGACGUUCAUGCCCGAAAGCGUGGGUAGCAAACA